rnacentral:sRNA from 1 species
CUUCGUCCAUCAGCUGCGGGCAGAUGAAGUGGACGUGGCAGUCGAUGGCACCCGCCGUGAGAAUGCGGCCGUUACCCGCGAUGAUCUCGGUCGACGGACCGACGACCAGGUCCCGGUGCACGCCCGACAUCGUGUCGGGAUUACCGGCCUUGCCGAUGCCGCAGAUCCGGCCGUCGCGGAUGCCCACGUCGGCCUUGAUGAUGCCCCAGUGGUCGAUGAUGACGACACCGGUGAUGACAGUGUCGGGGGCGCCGUCGGCACGAGUGGCGCGCGACUGACCCAUCGACUCGCGCAG